rnacentral:rRNA from 1 species
AUUGAACGCUGGCGGCGUGCCUAAUACAUGCAAGUCGAACGCAGUGGGGACGGGUGAGUAACACGUGGGUAACCUCCCAUCAGAGGGGAUAACACUUGGAAACAGGUGUUAAACAGAUACUGAUGGAUGAACCCGCGGUGCAUUAGCUAGUUGGUGAGGUAACGGCUCACCAAGGCCACGAUGCAUCGCCGACCUAGUAGGGUGAUCUGCCACACUGGGACUGGGACACGGCCCAACCUCCUACGGGAGGCAGCAGUAGGGAAUCUUCGGCAAUGGACGAAAGUCUGACCGAGCGACGCCGCGUGAGUGAAGAAGGUUUUCGGAUCGAAAAACUCUGUUGUUAGAGAAGCGGUAUCUAACCAGAAAGCCACGGCUAACUACGUGCCAGCAGCCGCGGUAAUUC